UACGGAGGAUCCGAGCGUUAUCCGGAUUUAUUGGGCGUAAAGAGCUCGUAGGCGGCUUGUUGCGUCAGCUGUGAAAACCCGCAGCUCAACUGUGGGCCUGCAGCCGAUACGGGCGGACUAGAAUUCGGUAGGGGAGACUGGAAUUCCUGGUGUAGCGGUGAAAUGCGCAGAUAUCAGGAGGAACACCGGUGGCGAAGGCGGGUCUCUGGGCCGAUAUUGACGCUGAGGAGCGAAAGCGUGGGGAGCGAACAGG
rnacentral:rRNA from 1 species